rnacentral:lncRNA from 1 species
GGUUCAGAGGAGCAGCGUGACCCGCGGGGGAUAACCUGGGAGAAAGAGGACGAGAGAAUCUGUGGAGAAAAGAACUAGCCCGCCGUCUCUUUUGACCUUUGAAGUCUCUACAGUAGAGCUUACAUCCCAGACCCUCCUGGUACAGGCCCUCGGUUCACCUUACUGGGUUGUUAGUAGAAACAAAGGCAACAUUUCCAGUAGAUGAUCUGGCACAAGCAGGUGCACCGCUCACCACCACAAACCUCCUAGGGUCAGACCUGGCUUCUCCAAGGGAGGUGCUCACACAGGACAUGAUUAGAUUUUCAGGCUUUGUCCACACCUGACAACACACGCAAGCAGUCCAGAGUCUGUUGUGAAAUACUAUUGGAAGGAGAGUCAGCUGAAAAUGGUGUCUAGGAAAGUGUUCAGACCAAAUUUGAAUCCUCUGAGUAUCACCACCUUCCAGGACAAAAGUUAUCUUUUCCUCAUCUGUCCAAGCAAGCCCCAGAGGCCAUCGCAAGCAUCUUUGAAAGAAAGAAGAAGAAAACAAGUGCACGCAGAGAAGCGUGGAGGUAGAGAACAGCAACGCCAUCAUGCAGAUGAUGCUGAAGGUGGUGAUGACCAGUAGACAGGAAUGGUGAUAAUGAUGAUGAUGGGGACAUGUCCAGAGAUGCAUGACUCUGGCCCCUUCCUGGGCCACCACACCUCGGGGGUCCUCCCAAUGGUCUUGGCUCUGUUGUUGGUUACAAGGUUCUUUGCCAUGAGAACUCAACAUUCUCCUGAUUUGAGAAGUCCCUGCUCAAACCUUCCUAAGUAAUCCCCAGCCAAGCCAAUCUCCUAUUUCCAUGGUCUUAGGAUCUGGGUUGUUUCCAGCUUUUAGCUAUUACAAAUAAAGUUACUAUAAAUAUUCAUACAG